GACGAACGCUGGCGGCGUGCCUAAUACAUGCAAGUUGAGCGCUGAAGGUUGGUACUUGUACCGACUGGAUGAGCAGCGCACGGGUGAGUAACGCGUGGGGAAUCUGCCUUUGAGCGGGGGACAACAUUUGGAAACGAAUGCUAAUACCGCAUAAAAACUUUAAACACAAGUUUUAAGUUUGAAAGAUGCAAUUGCAUCACUCAAAGAUGAUCCCGCGUUGUAUUAGCUAGUUGGUGAGGUAAAGGCUCACCAAGGCGAUGAUACAUAGCCGACCUGAGAGGGUGAUCGGCCACAUUGGGACUGAGACACGGCCCAAACUCCUACGGGAGGCAGCAGUAGGGAAUCUUCGGCAAGAGACGAAAGUCUGACCGAGCAACGCCGCGUGAGUGAAGAAGGUUUUCGGAUCGUAAAACUCUGUUGGUAGAGAAGAACGUUGGUGAGAGUGGAAAGCUCAUCAAGUGACGGUAACUACCCAGAAAGGGACGGCUAACUACGUG
rnacentral:rRNA from 1 species